rnacentral:lncRNA from 1 species
CAUAUUUUAUAUAUCAAGGGGCAAUAAUUUAAAAAAAGGCACUUGAAUAAAAUUAUAAAUAAAAAAGUUCUUUUUCUUGUAUAUGAAAUAUUUCAAACAGACCUUCAAGGGCAUUACUUACAGUAUACUAUGUGUUUUAUAAAAAAUUGAACCGAUGAGAGCGCUUACAAGGCCAUUUUCCUUUAUUUAAUAUUUUCAAGGGGCAUAACUCUUUUAAAAA